rnacentral:lncRNA from 1 species
UUAGAGUCUAGUCUUUUAGAGUUUCGAGUUCUGGUCAUAAGUUGUCACGCCGCCGCCGCACCAUCAUCAUCGCCCCUGCCAUCUACCAGCACCGCUUAUCCGCCACCGCUCCGAAUCCGUAUCCAUAUACCACCACCGAUCCAUAUCCAUAUACCACCACCGCUACCACCACCGCUGCCAUAUACCACCACCAUAUAUCCACCACCAAUCCGAGUUCCUUGCAUAUUAGGUUUGUUUUCGAGAUCCAUCUAGAUUCUGAUUCGUGUUUCCUUGCCGGAGUAGGUUUCGGGAAAAAAAAUUCUGGUAGCCACGCUCCGUUUAGGCCCAAAAUUUUUCGAAAACGCAUUUUUCGAAAAAAUUUCUGGCUAUCCUAUUUUUAGGUGUUUCUGAGUGUUUUGAGACAGGUGCCAUUAUAGGAAGUUUUUUUUGACCCGUUUCCAGCUUUUGGGUCCGGGCAGUCAAAAAAAAAAAUUGGUCAAAAAAAAAAUUGGUCAAAAAAAAAUUUCGUGCCCAUCCUGUCAGUUUGAGCUAAGAAGAGUUUUGAGACACUCGCCAUUAUAGUGAUUUUNNNNNNNNNNNNNNNNNNNNNNNNNNNNNNNNNNNNNNNNNNNNNNNNNNNNNNNNNNNNNNNNNNNNNNNNNNNNNNNNNNNNNNNNNNNNNNNNNNNNUGGCACCUGUCUCAAAACACUCAGAAACACCUAAAAAUAGGAUAGCCAGAAAUUUUUUCGAAAAAUGCGUUUUCGAAAAAUUUUGGGCCUAAACGGAGCGUGGCUACCCGACUCUUUUUUUUUUCGAAACCUACUCCGGCAAGGAAACACGAAUCGGAAUCUAGAUGGAUCUCGAAAACAAACCUAAUAUGACAAGAACUUGGAUUGGUGGUGGAUAUAUGGUGGUAGAUGGCAGAGGUGGUGGUAUAUGACAGCUGUGGUGGUAUAUGGAUACGGAUUCGAAGCGGUGGCGGAUAAACGGUGGUGGUAGAUGGCAGGGGCGAUGAUGAUGGUGCGGCGGCGGCGUGACAACUUAUGACCAGAACUCGAAACUCUAAAAGACUAGACUCUAAGACCAGCAACUAGACACGACGAUGCAACCGCAAAUUCAACAAAGCAAAACCCUAAAAAGAUUAUGCAAAGGCUCAGAUUGGUUCGGAUAUGAUGAACUAACCCUAAUUUUUUUUGUGGCUUUUUCGUGGACUGUAGGUAUGAAGAACACACUCGAUCUAAACUACGAAAAACUGUAAAAUCUCACCGAGCAACCUGGAAAUCUGAUACCACUUGAUAGAGGCAAAGGUGUCCCGUCUUUCGAUGAGAUGAUGGAUUUCGCUUUGGUGGAAGUCGACUUUGACGAUCCGACUACGAACGUGCGAGGACGUCGCGCCUUAGCAAUCGCUAAACCAACUCCGAGAGGUUAUUGACCACGCCGGAGCACGAUCAACCUGACCACGAGGGUCUGUUUCCUGCGAGCAAACGAAGAACAAGCAAGAAACUGAGAUUGCAAUCUGGAUAUUGCGAUUAUAAGAUGAAAGCUUUAUUGAUCAAGGUGGGGUUCUGUGACGCCUUUGUCUGGUCGUUGAACACAAACGAAGUACGCGAAGUUGCAGCUAUGGCAAACUUUUAAUCUAAACAAAACCCAAAGUCUAAACGAUGCCCUAAGGGCUAUAUAUAUGGAGGAAGAGGGGGGAAUUUCGUGGCCCUUGGUGGAGGGGUCCGAAAUCAACCCUAUCUCUUGUUUCCCCACACAUACGGACUCUAAAAAUAGCCUAUACUUAUGUAUUUCGAAAUUACAUGGGCAUGGCCCAAUAAUAAGGUGAUGCAGCACCUAAAAUAGCCUCGGGACGAAAUUUAUGAAGUGGCAUCUUGUAUAUUUCGUCCAAGGCUUCAUGCACCCAUUAUGGUGGCUUCAAAGUCCUGAAAUCAUCACUUGUAACUCCGUUCUUGUUCCCCUUGCGCAUGCCAUCAUCUCCAUGCUUGUUCUUGCUCCAAUGUUCAUCCUUCUCCAAGCUAGGCCCUUCAUUUGUAAGCAAAACAAAUGUAUCCAAUUUAGGCAGCAUCAUAUUCUCAUGAACAUUAGAAUCAUUACCAAGAAACGAAAGUACCUGGUAAUUUAGUUGGCGUUCACGAGCUCUAGUAAUUGGUCCAGUAUGUAUAGCAGCAGGGGCUGUGGGUGUAACAAUUGUAUUGAUUUCCUCAUCACUUUAGAAACAUGGCAACAUUAUUUAUGGCCCAAAGAAUUUGUUAUACAUUCUGAUCAUGAAUCUUUGAAACAUAUUAAAAGUCAAGCUAAACUGAAUCGUAGACAUGCUAAAUGGGUUGAAUUCAUUGAGACUUUCCCUUAUGUCAUUAAACACAAGAAGGGAAAAGAAAAUGUUAUUGCUGAUGCAUUGUCUCGUCGCUAUACUAUGCUUUCACAACUUGACUUCAAAAUAUUUGGUUUAGAGACCAUCAAAGAUCAAUAUGUGCAUGAUGCUGAUUUUAAAGAUGUAAUGCAGAAUUGUAAAGAAGGAAGAAUGUGGAACAAGUUUGUUGUUAACGAUGGAUUUGUGUUUCGUGCUAACAAGCUAUGCAUUCCAGCUAGCUCCGUUCGUCUUUUGUUGUUGCAGGAGGCGCAUGGAGGAGGAUUAAUGGGAAACUUUGGCGUGAAGAAGACGGAGGACGUACUUGCUACACAUUUCUUUUGGCCAAAGAUGAGACGGGAUGUUGAGCCUUUUAUUGCUCGCUGCACUACAUGUCAAAAAGCUAAGUCACGACUCAAUCCUCAUGGUUUAUAUAUGCCUUUGCCUGUACCUAGUGUUCCUUGGGAGGAUAUAUCUAUGGACUUUGUUUUAGGUUUACCUCGAACAAAGAAGGGGAGGGAUAGCAUAUUUGUUGUCGUGGAUAGAUUCUCGAAAAUGGCACACUUUAUACCAUGUCAUAAAAGCGAUGAUGCUGUUAAUGUUGCUGAUUUGUUCUUUCGUGAAAUUAUUCGCUUGCAUGGUGUGCCAAAUACUAUUGUUUCAGAUCGUGAUACUAAAUUUCUUAGCCACUUUUGGAGAUGUUUAUGGGCUAAGUUGGGGACUAAACUGCUUUUUAGUACUACUUGUCACCCCCAAACUGAUGUACAAACUGAAGUAGUCAAUAGAACGUUGUCUACUAUGCUUAGGGCUGUUUUGAAGAAUAAUAAGAAAAUGUGGGAGGAAUGCUUGCCUCAUAUUGAAUUUGCUUAUAAUCGUUCAUUGCAUUCUACUACUAAGAUGUGCCCUUUUGAAGUUGUGUAUGGUUUCCUACCUCGUGCACCUAUUGAUUUGUUGCCUCUUCCAUCUUCGGAGAAGGUUAAUUUUGAUGCUAAACAACGUGCUGAAUUGAUUUUAAAAAUGCAUGAGUUAACUAAGGAAAACAUUGAGCGCAUGAAUGCUAAAUAUAAACUUGCUGGAGAUAAGGGUAGAAAACAUGUUGUGUUUGCACCUGGAGAUCUUGUUUGGUUACAUUUGCGUAAGGAUAGAUUUCCUGAUUUGCGCAAAUCAAAGUUAAUGUCACGUGCUGAUGGUCCCUUUAAGGUGUUAGAGAAAAUAAAUGAUAAUGCAUAUAAACUUGAGCUGCCUGCAGAUUUUGGGGUUAGUCCCACUUUUAACAUUGCAGAUUUGAAGCCUUAUUUGGGUGAGGAAGAUGAACUUCCGUCGAGGACGACUUCAUUUCAAGAAGGGGAGGAUGAUGAGGACAUCAAUACAAUUGUUACACCCACAGCCCCUGCUGCUAUACAUACUGGACCAAUUACUAGAGCUCGUGCACGCCAACUAAAUUACCAGGUACUUUCGUUUCUUGGUAAUGAUUCUAAUGUUCAUGAGAAUAUGAUGUUGCCUAAAUUGGAUACAUUUGUUUUGCUUACAAAUGAAGGGCCUAGCUUGGAGAAGGAUGAACAUUGGAGCAAGAACAAGCAUGGAGAUGAUGGCAUGCGCAAGGGGAACAAGAACGGAGUUACAAGUGAUGAUUUCAGGACUUCGAAGCCACCAUAAUGGGUGCAUGAAGCCUUGGACGAAAUAUACAAGAUGCCACUUCACAAAUUUCGUCCCGAGGCUAUUUUAGGUGCUGCGUCACCUUAUUAUUAGGCCAGGCCCAUGUAAUUUCGAAAUACAUAAGUAUAGGCUAUUUUUAGAGUCCGUAUGUGUGGGGAAACAAGAGAUAGGGUUGAUUUCGGACCCCUCCACCAAGGGCCACGAAAUCCCCCCCCCUCUUCCUCCAUAUAUACAGCCCUUAGGGCAUCGUUUAGACUUUGGGUUUUAUUUAGAUUAAAAGUUCGCCAUAGCUGCAACUUCGCGUACUUCGUUUGUGUUCAACGACCAGACAAAGGCGUCACAGAACCCCACCUUGAUCAAUAAAGCUUUCAUCUUAUAUUCGCAAUAUCCAGAUUGCAAUCUCAGUUUCUUGCUUGUUCUUCGUUUGCUCGCAGGAAACAGACCCUCGUGGUCAGGUUGAUCAUGCUCCGGCGUGGUCAAUAACCUCUCGGAGUUGGUUUAGCGAUUGCUAAGGCGCGACGUCCUCGCACGUUCGUAGUCGGAUCGUCAAAGUAGACUUCCACCAAAUCGAAAUCCAUCAUCUCAUCGAAAGACGGGACACCUCCGCCUCUAUCACUAGAGAAACAGAUUACAUGGUAAAAGUAGAAUGCACAAUUCACUAGAAUUUGUUAAGGAAAGGCAGUAGCUAGCAAACUAAACAUGGGUCCUUAUAGUGAGCUAAUAAGACAAGCUACUCCUUGCCGCCGGAGAUAUCGAUGAUGAUUGGCUCCUUGGACAUGGAAGAGGGCGAGGCCUCCGCAUCAUGGGUGCUCUUGUCAUAGUGGUGAGUAGCCUAAGCCGCCCCAUGCACCAACCUGCUAGCUCUCGAGUUGAGGUAAGCACGUGCACGCUGAGAAAACACCUCGUAGUCUUCGUCGAAGGCACCGAGGUUGGCCUCGAGAAAACGCCACAAACUUUCAUUUAAAGCUGCCAACCGCGUCACGGUGUCGAUGGUGGCCUUGAUGGCAAGGUGAUCCUCCAAGAUCUGGGGGUCGGCACGAAUGGCAGCCAUCAUGACCUCAUCCACGCGUGCGGCCGUGAUUUGCUUCUCCGCUGCCAAAUGCUCCUUGAGCUUCUAGCUAUACUGCAUGCACCAUGGCUUAGGGCGGCGCUUAUUUGGUGGAGGGGUCAGUGAUUUGGGUGGAAGGUGUCACGCCAGCGGUCGGGGCAUGUGGGAUGUGGAAGGAGGAGGAGGAUGGGGUCGAUUGUGGAUUACCUGCCUGGAUAGAUGAGGCCGAGCAGCGUGAAGAAGGGUCGCCGACAAGGAGGUGGCGCUGCAAGCAAGGAGUGAAGGUUUAAACUUGGAAAGGAAGGCGGAAUAGGGUAAAUGUGGCUUUUGGUAAGGGGGAGGGGGCGGGGAGGUGGAUAUUUUCACGGAAGCCGAAAAUUUUGAAUCAGUUUAGCGAAAAAACUGGCGCGCAAAGUGUCAUCAGACACGUUCCCUUAUUCAGAACUGUGUACGAUAUGUGAACAUCAGAAACUAUUCAGAUAGCUUAACCCAUGUGUGAUAGUUUGAAUGUCAAAAAAAUUGGUUCAAAUUUCCCUGGUUAUAGUGGUCAUCCACGUCAUUGCAUAAUUUGGGUACACAAAGGAGACUACAGCACACCCACACUUCAUAAUCGAGCAAGUUCAGUAAUUAAAUAGAGCUAGCUAACCUAAACAUUACUCUAACAAAUUAAAGACCGGCGCACUUAAUUAAACAAAACAGAGAGUACUACUAUGGUUGGUGCUCAUCGAUCUCCGCCACCUCCUCCAUGUCGAGCUCGCGCCCGACGGUCUCCUGGGGAAGGGGCUCCAUGGCAUCCAUCACACCAUAAUUGGCAAGCAUCUUGCCAUUCGCGUCCGCCAUCUCUUUGGAAAAGGCCGCCGCAAGCUAGGAGUGGGUGGUCACGAUCUGGGCUUGGACGGGCUCCGUCUAGGCAAGGUAUGCGGGGGAGGAACGAACGGCUGCUCGAACGCUCUCGGCGAUUGCCAACUCUUCGGCCGUGGGUUGCCUACCGUUUUCGGAGAAUCUUCGUUUGAUUUGUGCGGUGACCGCCACGAGCUGGGCGUGGCAGCCUUGACAUGGUCGUGGGCGGCCUCCAUCAGGGCUAAGGCUGCUGCUGCGGAAUGGAUAGCUGCUGUGCCGCUCUCGCCAGUUGCUAUCCCCACGGCAGAUGUUGCUGCCGCCACCUGAGAAGCAACAAUGGCCGUUUGGGCUACCUUGGCCGCCCGGUCGCAGAUUGCGGUCGCGCUCAUGCACCUUGUUAGCAUGCGCAUGGAGGCUGCGGCCGUGCUCUCGCCGGAGUGGGCCGCUGAUGAGGACAUCAAUACCAUUGUUACACCCAUAGCCCCUGCUGCUAUACAUACUGGACCAAUUACUAGAGCUCGCGCACGCCAACUAAAUUACCAGGUACUUUCGUUUCUUGGUAAUGAUUCUAAUGUUCAUGAGAAUAUGAUGCUGCCUAAAUUGGAUACAUUUGUCUUGCUUACAAAUGAAGGGCCUAGCUUGGAGAAGGAUGAACAUUGGAGCAAGAACAAACAUGGAGAUGAUGGCAUGCGCAAGGGGAACGAGAACGGAGUUACAAGUGAUGAUUUCAGGACUUUGAAGCCACCAUAAUGAGUGCAUGAAGCCUUGGACGAAAUAUACAAGAUGCCACUUCAUAAAUUUCGUCCAAAGGCUAUUCUAGGUGCUGCGUCACCUUAUUAUUGGGCCAGGCCCAUGUAAUUUCGAAAUACAUAAGUAUAGGCUAUUUUUAGAGUCCGUAUGUGUGGGGAAACAAGAGAUAGGGUUAGUUUCGGACCCCUCCACCAAGGGCCACGAAAUUCACCCCCUCUUCCUCCAUAUAUACAGCCCUUAGGGCACCGUUUAGACUUUGGGUUUUGUUUAGAUUAAAGUUCGCCAUAGCUGCAACUUCGCGUACUUCGUUUGUGUUCAACGACCAGACAAAGGCGUCACAGAACCCCACCUUGAUCAAUAAAGCUUUCAUCUUAUAUUCGCAAUAUCCAGAUUACAAUCUCAGUUUCUUCCUUGUUCUUCGUUUGCUUGCAGGAAGCAGACCCUCGUGGUCAGGUUGAUCGUGCUCCGGCGUGGUAAAUAACCUCUCGGAGUUGGUUUAGCGAUUGCUAAGGCGCGACGUCCUUGCACGUUCGUAGUCAGAUCGUCAAAGUCAACUUCCACCAAAGCGAUAUCCAUCAUCUCAUCGAAAGACGGGACACCUUUGCCUCUAUCAAGUGGUAUCAUAUUUCCAGGUUGCUCGGUGAGAUUUUAUAGUUUUUCGUAGUUUAGAUCGAGUUUGUUCUUCAUACCUACAGUCCACGAAAAAGCCACAAAAAAAAUUAGGGUUAGUUCAUCAUAUCCGAACCAAUCUGAGCCUUUGCAUAAUCUUUUUAGGGUUUUGCUUUGUUGAAUUUGCGGUUGCAUCGUCGUGUCUAGUUGCUGGUCUUAGGGUUUAGUCUUUUAGAGUUUCGAGUUCUGGUCAUAAGUUGUCACGCUGCUACCGCACCAUCAUCAUCGCCCCUGCCAUCUACCACCACCGCUUCGAAUCCGUAUCCAUAUACCACCACCAAUCCGUAUCCAUAUACCACCAUCGAUCCAUAUCCAUAUACCACCACCGCUGCCAUAUACCACCACCAUAUAUCUAUCACCAAUCCGAGUUCCUUGCAUAUUAGGUUUGUUUUCGGGAUCCAUCUAAUUUCCGAUUUGUGUUUCCUUGUCUGAGUAGGUUUCGGAUUCCAGCAAUCUUUUGCCGUCCGUAGAAGAGGUUAGUCC